GAGAAAUAUUAAAAGACCAGUGUUAUUAGAUUCAUGGAGUGGCCACCUGGCUAACCUGGCUUUCUUUAUACUUAGCUUUAUGCAGUAUUUAAUAGCUUUGACAUUUGGGAGUGCUCUCUGUGAGUCCCUUGUUCUGUGCUGAGGAGUGUGGGGGGCCACAUUACCAACACUGAGUUUUACACCUUUUUUUUCCCUCUGACAGCUCUGCAUCAGAGGAUUAGAAACAAUUUACCUUUUGUCUUGCCAUUUGUUAAAGGAAUACCCUCCUACAACUUCACCUGAUCCUUUGCCCACAGCUGUGUCAGGUGCAAAUGGCUCCAGAUGUUGUCUGCACUGGAAGGCGCUUUGAUGUUCCUGGAUCUAUUUUUGGGAAGCAAGGCCUCAUGCUGACAGGUGAGCAGAUUUCAUCCACACCAGCCUGGAACUUCAGCCUGGGAUUCUUCCCACAGCUGUGCCUGCCUAAGGACCUUGUCAACCACGCUUAACUCCCGAGGCUGGGAGAACCCCACUGCUGUGCAGACUCCUCUCCUGCUCUAAGCAGGCCACUGUUUCCAGCAUUCCUGCCACCCUACCACAGCUGAAUUUACCCCUGCUGAAAUCCUGAGAGCUGCAGGAAGGUUUGUGAAAGCGUUCUUGCCUCAGCUCUCCCCCGUGGCAGCCUUGUCCAGCCACCCACCUCGCCCAUAUCCGACCCAGGAGCCAGCGCCUUGCUGCCCGUUCCUGCUCCCCAUCCCUGCCUGCUGCUGUGCUCCAGUGGGGUUAGGAAUCACCUCAAUCCUCACUGCACACAGGAGGUGCACUGGAUCUGAUGGAGUCUGGUGCCUCUGUUUGGUUCUCCAAAGCUGCUGCCAGAGCUCCCUCUGGGUGGGCACCCCACCCUCUGGAGCUUUCAGGACGCCCCAUUCCCUGCAUGUUAACAGAGGCAUGAAGUGACUGAGCCAGGCUGGCCUAGGCAAAUGUCUGCCUAAGUUAAACAUUGGUUUGACUUCAUACUUUUCUCAGGCAUUCAGAAACAUAACCCUGUAAAAAAAAAAAA